UGUCACCUGUGGGCAAAGGCAAUUAGUUGCUGCUGUGCUUCCUCCGUCUCUCUUUUUGCCUUUGCCACAGAGACCUUGGAGCCAAAUAUUCUAGGAAGAGUGGGGCCGAUGACCCACAUCUGACUUUUUCUUAGCAAUUCUAGCCCUACAGAUCCCUAACAGCCGAUCAUCAAUGCGAACAAGUUGAAGAAAAAUUCGUCACCCCUGCCAAGACUUGGAUGCAGCUACGCAAGACACAUCAAUCAAUGGAGUGAAGUGGACAAGACUGGCAACUUCUUGGCUGACCUUGAAAUGUUUAAGGGGUAGUUUUGGCAACUUGUGCACCCCAAAUCUACUCCAAAGUAAAGCUGCCCAUAGAGCUGUCAACAAACCCAUUAGUAAUUUAGUCUAUCUAGCUCUAAAUAGACUGGGCUGGUACCUGUGUAUAUAUCUCCUGUGUUUACCUAGGUGGAACCUUCAGCCUUUUGGGAGUAGUAGUGAGAGCUGAAGAGGAUGUAGUCUUGUUCUCAUCCUUGCAGGGAUAUUGAUGUUAAGUAGAUGCAUUUCUGCUGGAUCAAAGUUGACUUUUCCUACUUAUUUUCUUUUUAAAAACCAAGUACCCCAGCCAUAUCACAAAGAGAAUGUUUUUCUCUGACUAGAUUUUUGAUAGGCCUUUAUGAUUAAAAUUAGCUGCCUUUGA